GACCAAAAGUAAUAGUAAUAGAAAAUCAAUAAAAUGUGGUGGAAAAUCCCCACCACCCAAUCGUCCGUGCCUAUAAAAAUAAGGGCUUCGACCUGAGCCACCCGGCAACCCCUAUUGUCGUGUAUCUUUGGUGUGCAAGUGUGGAGUGGUGCAUGCAUGUGUUGGAGCUUUUUAUGAAAAGAUCACUGGGUGACCUUCUUUAAAAGCAAAAGAGAAUCCAGGUUGCAAUCUUAUGGCCAAGUGAGAGAUGUUGGGUUGCGGCCAUGAACCAGACUCAUGAUCUCAUCCACUAUGAGAAACCUUGAAAAAGAAAGUGGUGGAACAAAAAGCCUGUGUCCAUUGAGGCCAUGAGUAGCAUAAUCGACACUGAACCACGCAAUUUGACUCUAGUCAUGUCCCACAAAGAUGGUGCUACUUGAAGACGUCAUUGGUAUGACCUGACUAUUUCCCUCCGUUUAAUUAAUGUAUUUCUUUGACUUUGUGAAUAUUAUUCAUUUAUUUUAUAAAUGUAAUACCAUAAUUGGCAAAUUCCUAACUCUAACUCGGAUCAGUAGAAGACCAAGUCGGAGUCACUGGGUCAACAAGUUGCUAUUUUUAUAGGAUAUCAAUGAAGUAAGGUCUGUAACUCUCUAAAUGGUUACUUUCCAAUGUAUUUUUACUGCAACCCAGUAAGACAAUUUUAGACAAGUCGGUGUGAUUUUGGGCA